AUGUACCUUAGUGGUAUAAAGUGUCUACCAUGGAGUUUCUGCUGCAUCCCCUUGCCUAUUGCCAUUCCCGCCUACAAGCUAGUCCUCAUUCGGCAAGUCGAGAGCGCCUGAAACCUGGAGAACUGCUCCAGCAGCUGGUAUGAUGCCGACCUGAGCCCGUCGGGCCACGAGGAGGCAAAGCACGGCGGACAGGUGUUGCGAGAUGUUGGCUAUGAAUUCGACAUCUGCUUCACCUCCGUGCAGAAGAGAGCAAUCCGGACCCUCUGGAUAGUCCUGGAUGCCAUUGACCAGAUGUCAAUGAGCGGCACUAUGGGGGGUCUGACUGGUCUCAAUAAAGCAGAAACUGCUGCUAAGCAUGGUGAGGCAAUCUUACGAUGUCCCACCACCACCAAUGAAGCCUGAUCAUCCCAUCUACAGCAACAUCAGUAAGGAUCGCAGGUACGCAGACCUUACUGAGGACCAGAUACCCUCCUGUGAGAGCCUGAAGGAUACUAUUGACAGAGCACUGCCCUUCUGGAAUGAAGAGAUUGUCCCCCACAUCAAAGAGGGGAAGAGAGUCCUGAUUGCGGCCCAUGGCGACAGCCUUCGGGGGAUCGUCAAGCAUCUGGAGGGUCUCUCAGAAGAGGCCAUCAUGGAGCUGAACCUGCCAACUGGCAUUCCCAUUGUCUAUGAAGUGGACAAGAACUUGAAACCCGUUAAACCCAUGCAGUUCCUGGGAGAUGAAGAGACCGUGCAGCAAGCCAUGGAAGCUGUGGCAGUUCAGGGCAAGGCCAAGGAGUGAAGGCGAGCAGACAGACUUCUACCCCCAAACCCUCCUCCCUGCCUGUUUCUGCC